UUUGAUCCUGGCUCAGAUUGAACGCUGGCGGCAGGCCUAACACAUGCAAGUCGAACGGUAACAGGAAGUGCUUGCACUUCGCUGACGAGUGGCGGACGGGUGAGUAAUGCUUGGGAACUUGCCUUUGCGAGGGGGAUAACAGUUGGAAACGACUGCUAAUACCGCAUAACGUCUACGGACCAAACGGGGCUUAGGCUCCGGCGCAGAGAGAGGCCCAAGUGAGAUUAGCUAGUUGGUGGGGUAAAGGCUCACCAAGGCGACGAUCUCUAGCUGUUCUGAGAGGAAGAUCAGCCACACUGGAACUGAGACACGGUCCAGACUCCUACGGGAGGCAGCAGUGGGGAAUAUUGCACAAUGGGGGAAACCCUGAUGCAGCCAUGCCGCGUGUGUGAAGAAGGCCUUCGGGUUGUAAAGCACUUUCAGUUGUGAGGAAAGGUUGGUAGUUAAUACC
rnacentral:rRNA from 2 species